rnacentral:misc_RNA from 1 species
AAAAAAAAUUUAUGAACCAAGUAGAAAGCCUUGUAGCCAUUUUUAAUAUAAAAAUAUUAUAAAAAUAUUGCGUAGUUAUUAUUUAAAAAAUCUUAUUGAAAUUCUACCAAAAUCUAGCGAUAAUGACCUUUAUUGAAACAAUAUCAAGACUAUGUGAUUUUGUCAUACAAAUUGAAGUUUAAUGAGUGUGCUGAAAUCAUUAAUAUGUUUGAUGACCAUAGGUGAAAUUAAGU